AUAGGGUGUGGAGAACAGGGCUUCCCGUCCGCUCAGCCGUACUUAAGCCACACGCCGGGAGGUUAGUAGUUGGGUGGGUGACCACCAGCGAAUCCCUCCUGUUGUAUGUU
rnacentral:rRNA from 1 species